rnacentral:lncRNA from 1 species
UAGGAUCACCAUAAUUGUAGUUUCGUGGAACAUCAUAAAGAAGGUGUCCAUCUUAAAAGUUCCAAAACAUUUGUAAUUGAAUAAAUCAGUAUAUAAUUAAUACACAUAAAAUAUUGAGAAAAAAGAACACAAAUAAUGAAAAUAAAAAGUUAUAGAAAGAAAAGUUGUUGUUAGACAUGGUGGGUUACUUACGUGGUUUGUGAGGAUCUGAAUUCCAAAGGGGUACCCUUGCUGUGGCCAUUUUCAUUGAUAAAAGAACCACAACUACCAAAAUCAUCUUCAUCAAAACCUUCUUACACUGACCCAUCUUAGAAGGAAAAAGAAAAUACAAAUAUGUGAGAAUAUAGGAUGGAAACUACAUAUUUAUAUAUGAAUAGAGAGAGGAAUCCAUGUUAAGAAAAAU